rnacentral:rRNA from 1 species
GACGAACGCUGGCGGCGCGCUUAACACAUGCAAGUCGAACGGAAAGGCCUGCUUUCCCUUGUGGAUUGCGGGUACUCGAGUGGCGAACGGGUGAGUAACACGUGAGUGAUCUGCCCCCAACUUGGGUAUAAGCCUGGGAAACUGGGUCUAAUUCCCGAUAGGAUUGCAGGGUGGUGCCUGUGGUGGAAAACGAUUUUCUAGUGGUUGGGGAUGAGCUCGCGGCCUAUCAGCUUGUUGGUGGGGUAAUGGCCUACCAAGGCGGCGACGGGUAGCCGGCCUGAGAGGGUGGACGGCCACAUUGGGACUGAGAUACGGCCCAGACGCCUACGGGAGGCAGCAGUGGGGAAUAUUGCACAAUGGGCGGAAGCCUGAUGCAGCGACGCCGCGUGGGGGAUGACGGCCUUCGGGUUGUAAACUCCUUUCGACCGCGAGGAAGCCACCUGGUUGGAAGGGUGGUGACGGUAGUGGUAGAAGAAGCACCGGCUAACUACGUG